rnacentral:lncRNA from 1 species
CCGUUACGAACAACAGACGCAAUGGAGAAAGUUACUUUCUGCUUCUGUGUGUUUUCUUGUUGGAUUAUGCAAAUCACACACAGUGAUGUGUCAGUACAAGGAUCUUCUGAUCUGCUGAGAGUUCAGAAAGGAGAAAGCAUCAGUCUGAACUGCAGUAUGAGAAACAAAUAUGAAGUCGCCUGGUAUCGCCUGAGAUCUGAACAACUGGAUCUACUGACUGCAGCAGAGAAGGACGACACAGGAAGAAAACUCUUGAUCAACUACAAUCAAAACAAAAGUCGUCUGAAAAUUAGUGCAGACACAUGGGUCACCAGAGUCUCUCUAGAGAUUUCUGGAGUAACAGAGUCAGAUUCAGGUCUUUAUUUCUGUGGAACAAAGUCUGACGCUCCAGAGAUGUUCUUCGACAAAUCCAUCAGACUAGAGAUCGAGGGUCUUUCUGCAACAGAAAAGCCAAAAGAAGUUGACAACACAG